rnacentral:rRNA from 1 species
UGUGGUUACAAUAGCAGAGAGGAUACACCUGUUCCCAUUCCGAACACAGAAGUUAAGCUCUCUAGCGCUGAUGGUACUUGGUGGGAAACUGGUAAUCUUUUUUUGUUGUAUUAA